rnacentral:tRNA from 1 species
UUAAUUGAAGCCAAAAUGUAGGCAUAUUAUUGUUAAUAAUAUAUUUGAAAAAAAAUAAUUUUCCAAUUAAA